UCCUGCGUAGCUCAAUCGGCAGAGCAACCGGCUGUUAACCGGUUGGUUCCUAGUUCGAGUCUAGGCGCAGGAG
rnacentral:tRNA from 2 species